UCUUUUCUACAAACUCUGCUGGCUCAACAAAACACAUGGAUACAAAGACAGCCUUUAUCGUCGGGGUGUGAGGUAAUUUAUGGCUCCCGGUGACUGGUGAUAAUAGAUUGCCUUGAAUGUUAGGGGAGGCGCAUGACAGAGCUGAAGGAAACAAUGUAUUCCAUGCUGCAGGCACAUGAAUUUAAACUUCAGUAAUAGGGACCAUAAAAAGUCAUCAUGCGGGUCUGAAAUGUAUUUCAGUGCUUAUGAAUGUGCUGUAAUAUCCGGGAAGACAGCACCAGUGGUGCCAGGGACCCCUCCAGCGUGCAGCAACAGGGCGCCUAGCACAGACACCUCAGCGUGCUAAAGGCCUGGUCCUAACGCAGUCAUCGGAUUCGUUUAGUAAAGUAGGUCAAAUGUUGUACUUGUCAGAAAGGCCCAGGAGCAUAGCGCCUCUGCAGCGGGUUUGCCGAACUGUCGUUGAGCGAAGCUAAUUGCUGUUCGUGAGUGCUGAUGAAGUUACAAUAUUUAGGCAAAGAAUGUAAGCCUUGAGGACACGGACAAGGGGAAAAAAUGAGAACCAAGACCUGUCAUGUAAAGGAGAACGGCUCCACAGAUGUAUGCACACACCUCACUGGCACCUCUGACAGUGGAAGGAGUAAUCAGCAGGAACCAGCUGUGCCUGAAAUGUUCGAGGCUUGAAAUUCUCACAAAGUAAAGCCAAGGGAACUUCAAAUUUUCAUUGCGAUUUUCCUAUCCAUGGAAGAAAAUGAGACAAAUUCCUAGCCUUCUACACAAUUUAUGCAAGAUUGGCAAGAGCUCAUCUAAAGAAAAAACCCCGUGCCAUUUUUUUCUGCCAUUCAAUGUUGUCUCUUUACACAAAGCUAGCUUAUUUUAAUUUAUUUUCACAUCCAUUUUAUAGAGAUCUUAAUCCAAGCAUGAUAUUACACACCUUGGUGAAGAAAGCAUUUAAAGGUUAAAUAUAUUUGCACUGAUGUAGUCACACAAACAUUUUCAGUGAUAACAUUAUACAGUCACACUGAAUGAGAAAGGAAUUCUAAAACACUUUGCAGAGUGGCAGAGUGUUUUUUAAAGGUGAAGUAUUGGAGAAUAGUGGCCACCAGAGAGAAGAAA